rnacentral:rRNA from 1 species
GACCCUGGCUCAGGAUGAACGCUAGCUACAGGCUUAACACAUGCAAGUCGAGGGGAAACGAUAUUGGAAGCUUGCUUCCGAUAGGCGUCGACCGGCGCACGGGUGAGUAACGCGUAUCCAACCUGCCCACCACUUGGGGAUAACCUUGCAAAAGUAAGACUAAUACCCAAUGACGUCUCUAGAAGACAUCUGAAAGAGAUUAAAGAUUUAUCGGUGAUGGAUUGGGAUGCGUCUGAUUAG